GAUGAAGAACGUAGCAAAAUGCGAUACUUGGUGUGAAUUGCAGAAUCCCGUGAACCAUCGAGUUUUUGAACGCAAGUUGCGCCCGAAGCCUUUUGGCCGAGGGCACGUCUGCCUGGGCGUCACGCAUCGCGUCGCCCCCCAUAAUUCUCCGUAAGGGGAACUCGUGUUUUGGGGGCGGAUAUUGGUCUCCCGUGCUCACGGCGUGGUUGGCCGAAAUAGGAGUCCCUUCGAUGGACGCACGAACUAGUGGUGGUCGUAAAAACCCUCGUCUUUUGUUUCGUGCUGUUAGUCGCAAGGGAAACUCUAAGAACACCCCAGCGUGUCGUCUUUUGACGGCGCUUCGACCGCGACCCCAGGUCAGGCGGGACUACCAGCUGAGUUUAAGCAUAUCAAUAAGCGGAGGA
rnacentral:misc_RNA from 1 species